UGGGGAAUUUUGGACAAUGGGGGAAACCCUGAUCCAGCCAUCCCGCGUGUGCGAUGAAGGCCUUCGGGUUGUAAAGCACUUUUGGCAGGAAAGAAACGUCAUGGGUUAAUACCCCGUGAAACUGACGGUACCUGCAGAAUAAGCACCGGCUAACUACGUGCCAGCAGCCGCGGUAAUACGUAGGGUGCAAGCGUUAAUCGGAGUUACUGGGCGUAAAGCGUGCGCAGGCGGUUCGGAAAGAAAGAUGUGAAAUCCCAGAGCUCAACUUUGGAACUGCAUUUUUGACUACCGGGCUAGAGUGUGUCAGAGGGAGGUGGAAUUCCGCGUGUAGCAGUGAAAUGCGUAGAUAUGCGGAGGAACACCGAUGGCGAAGGCAGCCUCCUGGGAUAACACUGACGCUCAUGCACGAAAGCGUGGGGAGCAAACAGG
rnacentral:rRNA from 1 species